UACGUCCGGGCCUUGUACACACCGCCCGUCACGUCACGAAAGUCGGUAACACCCGAAGCCGGUGGCCUAACCCUUCUGGGAGGGAGCCGUCGAAGGUGGGAUCGGCCGAUUGGGACG
rnacentral:rRNA from 1 species